rnacentral:rRNA from 1 species
AGUGAACGCUGGCGGCAGGCCUAACACAUGCAAGUCGAACGGCAGCACAGUAAGAGCUUGCUCCUACGGGUGGCGAGUGGCGGACGGGUGAGGAAUACAUCGGCAUCUACUUUUUCUUGGGGGAUAACGUAGGGAAACUUACGCUAAUACCGCAUAUGAUCUACGGGUGAAAGCAGGGGAUCUUCGCACCUUGCGCGACUGAAUGAGCCGAUGUCGGAUUAGCUAGUUGGCGGGGUAAAGGCCCACCAAGGCGACGAUCCGUAGCUGGUCUGAGAGGAUGAUCAGCCACACUGGAACUGAGACACGGUCCAGACUCCUACGGGAGGCAGCAGUGGGGAAUAUUGGACAAUGGGCGAAAGCCUGAUCCAGCCAUGCCGCGUGGGUGAAGAAGGCCUUCGGGUUGUAAAGCCCUUUUAUUGGGGAAGAAAAGCAGCGGAUUAAUACCCCGCUGUUCUGACGGUACCCAAAGAGUAAGCACCGGCUAACUUCGUG